GGGCGGAUGGUUUAGUGGUAUAAUACUCCCUUAGCAAGUUUCCGUCUACGGUACUGAUCUGGGAGUGGUCCGGGGUUCGAUUCCCCGUUCGUCCA
rnacentral:tRNA from 2 species